AGGACGGUAAGUGCAUUUCUCACUUUCGCUACUUAGUGAAUAUUUAAAUAUUGAUGAAGGGAUUUCUAAGAAGAGCCCUUUUGUAGGGCAGGCCUUCCGCAGACCCGGGGACCUGGGAAGGAAGGUUGAUCUUGGACCCGAAGCCACCCCAGCUUGCAGCAACUCCAUGGCCGUCGUUAAAAUUCUGGAACUUGGAAUUUGUGAAAUACAGCUUUUAAUCUCAGAUGUGUGCCGGCCAUUUGCCAGAGAGAAUUUGGUUGAACACGUCAAAUAGCAGGCCUCCUAAAUAGAACACGAGGAAAAGAGGAAAAGAGAAAACAACAGUUUUUAGAUCAGACGUGUUCUGAAAGGUUGUUUGGAAGCCACAGCCCUUUCUUGAAAAACUGAAAUCUUGCAUUCACUUCCUAAACCAUCAGUGUUUCUUCUUCUUAUUUUAUUUUUUCCCUGCUGGUCAGGCAUUUAUGGAGAGCUGGUUUAGGGCGGCCCUGGGACUGGCCGCUCUGGCCCUUGAAGUGAAAGCCCCGAGUGGAUGCUGUUGUUCAUGGUGGCAUAAAACAAAAAUAACUCAUAACUUUUCAUAAUAAAUCCCUCUUUAUAGAUGGGUCACACACAGGCCCAGCCCACAGCCCUGGGGGAUUUGUGGGGAGCAAGAAAGGGGUGAAGGAAUGCAUGUUUGCCGUAAUUACAGGGUUUUAAGGUAACGCUGAAAUUAAUUUCUUCAAAGUUGGGCUACAGAGCCCACGGCCAUCUCUGUAGGCAGCACUGUGUUCAUUUUAUUUUAGUUUGUUGGGUUUAGCUGUUUGGGAUUUUUAAGAAGCACGUUUGUGCUUGUGUUACCUACCCUGUUAAAAUGAAACCCAUAACUGGGAGAUUAAACCCACUUUUUAAUAUGAUCGUAUCACAGGUGCGAUUUCCCCUUUACCCUGCCUCAUCUUAUUGAUGUGGUUUGGACAACCUUGUGGGGUGCUUUGACCACAAAAUAAUGGGGGGGGGCCUGUUUCCAUAACUCCCCAGCGCUGUGAGCUGGCGCUCGGAGGCCGUGUUUCCGGGAACGUGGACAGAGGCCUGCGUAGCCCAGGCCUGCCUCAUGCCUCCCUCUCCCAGGGCUGCCUGGUUUCCAGAACCGAGAGGAGAACCCAGAGGAACGAAGAACCGGUUUCAGUAAGGUCCUGCCCACCUGGCCCUGAGGCUGAAGGCUUGCUUCUGUGAACCCCUGUAGAGCCAUCCUCGCCAUCUUUUUAGCUGGGCCAUCGCCCCUUACCCCAGUGCCCUGUUUUGAAUUUGUCUUUAUGACUUUAUCAGAGGCAGUUAGCAGCCUUGAAACGCGGGGAGAGACACUGGGGACUGAUCUCAGAAAUGGAGGGUGGCUUGCCCCUCCGGCCAGGAGCUGACGCUGGCCGUGGUGUUGGCAGCGAUGGGUUAGUAAUUACAGAAAGCCCGGGUUCCGCUGGGGCCUUGCUUGUAAAAUGCAGGAGACAUUUUCCUGGGUCCACAGAUGACCUGUAGUGUAGCUCAGGAUGGGCAGGCAUGGUGUGGCUUUCUGCUCAGACUGUUGGGCAUCCCCCGGGGUUAAAGCAGACCCCAAAACAAGGGGCGUUGGUAGCUCCCUCUGAGAGCCCACGGGCCAGACACUGGGAGCACGGAGAGGCCUCAGCAUCCGAGGAGGCACUCUCAGGGCCACUCAGCGGGGGGGCUACUGUUCAUCCAGCUCCAGCGGCCCAGUGCCCGCCCCACGUGAGCCCCCGGCACAGGGGAUGCACUGGGGCUGAGAGGCCUCAGCCAACAGCCAGGCCGGCCCCAUGGAGGGAGGCCCUGUCUUGGCACCACGCCGUCCUGUCCUGCCUUUGUCCUUGUCCUUAGGGCCAGCCCGAUACCCUGGAGACUCUUCAUGGAGACCCGAGUCCCGGCCAGGGGCUUCUUACUAUGUGGGGAGGUCUUCUCACCACGCGAGGCGGUCUUCUCACCAUGUGGGGCGGUCUCAUCCAGAGAAAAUGCAUUUUUGAGGAUGUGUAGGUGACACAAAGUUCGGAAAAUGGAACUGGCGCCUGCCUGGUUUUUCUCGUGGGGUUUUGGGGGAAGAAUGUGCUAAGCAGGGGACAGGGUCUUAAGGACUGCAGCGGGCUGGUGGGAGGGUGGCCCUGGCACCCCUGUUUUUUUUACAACGAGGGCCAGGCCCAGGGUGCCCCCUGGACCGCACUGAGUCUUUGCCAUGCCCCACCUCUGGCCACUCGAGGCCCCCCGAUUCUGGCCUGGGGGGUCUCCAGGGUGCAGGUGGCACCGGCUGCCCAGUACGGCAGUGGGUGGUGACUAGCCCCUGCCCACAGUCAGGUCUCCCCUGCUGCCUAAACAGGUACAGACAGCAUCUUGCUCUGCUCAGCAGGACCAGCGGGAAGCUUUGCCACAGGGGGGACAUUCGGGUCCCUGGAGUUUGCACCCAGCUGUGCUUGAUGCCGUGAACGGGUCUCACUUGCUCCCAUCUUCAUCCCAGCGUGGACGAAGCCUGGUGGGAAGGCGUCCCGUGGGGCCCAGGGAGGGGCGCAAGGUCUCUGCCCACCCUGAUGGGCUCUCUGCCUGGGUGGGUAGGUGUUCCCUGGUGUCCAGGGUGACCGACGUGUGCCCUCAGUGAGGGACAACGCUCGGGGAAGGAAGGAAGCCCCACGGACCAGGCAAGGAAACAUCUUCAAACCAGCAUGCCUGGCCGUUCUCAGGAGGGCGUUUCUGCGUGUUCAGGGAGCACAGAGCUGCCCCUGCAGUAACCCUGCCAAGUGCGGGCACGGCCGGGCCACUCCAACCCAGCCCCCUGCCCCUGGCUUGCCAUGGGGCCCUGGACAAGUCCUGUCCCCUCCCGGGACUGCAGUCCACGCUCCAGAACAGGAAUAAGAGCCUGGGCCUCGGAGGGUCCUUGGGAAGGUUCAGACGAGGUUAUUUCCACAAACCCCAGUCGGGGCACGUGACAGGGACGCCAUAAAUGGCUGUCGUUGUAAAUGGUAAUCGCCAUUUUUAUUGCUAGUUGUUGUUAUAUUUUUGAGCUUCUAAGAAACAGGGAAGCUAGUUUUGGUUUCGUUGGAAAGGACACCUGGGCGUUCACGACACACCCCUCCCCCCACCCUGCCCAUAGUGAAAGCAAACCUUGGUGAUUCCAAGGUGGACGACCAGGAGCUCCCGAGCCAGCGCCCUCCUCGUCAUGGAGGCUUGGCUUAGGCACGUGCUCACGGAGGAGGUGCCCCUUCCUAGGCACCUUUUAAGAGUGGAACCUCCUCAAGGAUGGCACUCACAAGGGAGCCAACCCUGGGGGGCUGACCAGGGAGAGACAAGGGCAGACGUCCUGACCCAGGCGUCCAGGGUGCCCAUGCCAUCCGCUGGUCAUCCUUGCCUGCAAUUCAGGUUGGCACUUUGAUGGGGCUUCAUCACUCUGACAAGCUAAUUGUUCUUUGAUCCCAUAUGAACGUGCCUUUACGAAGAUGCUUGCUUUAAGAGAGCUUUAUCUCUUAGCUGAUCAUCCAGGAAGACCCAGCAAGAUUGCCCUUUCUCAAAACAUCUUGUCAGAACAAGAAAGAACCCCAGAUGGCAUCGGCCCUGCUUGCUGAUGUUACGGAGCCGAGAAGAGAGAAAAAGCAACAAUUGUCUCCAAGCAAAGACAAUGGACCUUUUAUAUGAAAUAUUUAUUUUCAGGGCCGACCGGUGUCCCGGUGGCUCGGCAUCGCAGGCCCUGAGAACUCAGUCAGGGACGAGAUGUACAGAAAAGGAAAAAAAAAAAAAAAAGAGUCCCCUGCCCUGUGAUUCUUGGGGAAUUUCAGUGGGAAUGUCUGGCUUUCUUUACUGAGUGGCGUUUAAACUUUCACAAGUUUAUUUUCUCCCCCUCUGUGAUUUCUUCUGAAAGGCCGCUUGCAGGGGCCUGUUGGCACAUAGCGGAAAGGCAGCCAGGCUUUGGACCGUGGGCUGGACACAGCCUCGCUGGGGCCAGGCCUGGCUGGCCGUUGUCUGCUGGGGGGUGGGUCGCAGGACGGAAGUGGACUGGAGGAAGAAGGGUCCUUGCGGGGGUGGGGGUGAAAGGAAAGCCAUCAAGAGCCAGUCUUGGACAGUAUUUGUGAUUCUCCGGCGUCCCUUACUCCUCCCCAAAUCGCGUUGUCCGAUGAACUUGGAAUCUGCCAGCAGCUUAUCAGAGAGCCUGGCCUGAAUUGGCGAAGCCACACAUAGGCCCCUCAACACCCUCCCCGGCUGGACAGGCCUGGCCCAGGGUUCCUGCCCUAUGGAUGUUCUCUGAACUAACAGAACGAACAGACUUUUACUUGGAGGCCUGCUCUUGAGCCACCUCCCCUUUCCCUGCCUUGUGGCUCAAGUGGGGCUCAUGUUGCUGACCCGGGUUCCUGAUCAAGGUCCAGCUUCGCCGCAGCUAGGAAGGUGGCCUGGGAAGCGAGGCCCGGAUCCCAGGCUCAUGUUAGGGACCCCGGGAGGAACAGAUCAGGCUGGGGCUUGUGAUGGGAACAUUGGGGCACCAGUUUUCCUGGUGUAGGGCAUGGGAGGCCAUUGGCCCAGACCCCUACUGGCUUAAGGGGUCCUCGGUCUGGUGGGAGGAGAGCAGGAGAGGGAGUGGCCCCCAUUAGGGUAAGCGGCAGGGUUUCCUCUUUACCCAAAAGACUGUCGGCAAAUUAUAUUAUCUGGCUUCAAAAAUGAGGGGUUUUUUUUGUUUUUUUUUUUAAAGACAACAAAACAAACCUGCUGUUGCAUCUUUUAAAAAAAAAAAAAAUCCUGGAACCUCUUAAGUGGGGUCUGUUUCACUUUCUGCAUUAACGCCCCCCCCCCAAAAAAAUGUAAUUAAGAGUUCUCUUUGGGCGGGGGUGGGGGCAGGGGCAGGGGGCACCUAUAACAGGCUCCAAACCCACGCUUGGAGUUGAUAAAAUGGAAAAGGCUGAAAUCCCUUCCCAUGAGGCAGGACAACCCUAAAACACAGAUUUUAUUUACUAUUUUUUUUUGGAGAAGGGUUUUGCAAGUAAAAGGCUGCAAAGUCUUCCUGUGAAAUUUUGGAUGGAAUUGUGUUGUUUCAAGACUCUGGAUUCAGGAGUCUUGCCUUUAGGGACGGCUCAGAAAUCCUGUGGAUGGGUAAAUCGGCUGGCCGGGCCCACUGUUGUGAAUCAGUGGCUAAGAGGUUUUCUGAGCAGAGAUGUGGCCAGCAGAGGCGGUGGUUAUUAUCGCUAAAUGAGCCUGGCAGUUGUGGUUAGAAAAUGUGUGCAUGGGGCUUACAGAGCAAAGCCCAAAGUUUCUCUCUCUGUUUUUGGAGUAAUGGAAUUUCCCCUUAAGAUGGGUGGGGGGAAGCAUGUUGUCUCUGCUGCCUUCGGUUUCCUAUGCUGGGGCCAGGUUUUUCGGUGAAUCACCCUUCCUUUAAUUCUAGGAUUUGAGAUGGUUAAGAAGUUUAGCUGAAAUAUUACCUGCUGAUUUGGGGCUCUUAAAUCUAGAUUCGCCUUUCAUGUGUUUAAGAGCGAUAUUUACAUUCAAAUCAGCCUUUUAUAAUUACAUUUUAAAUUAUAAUGAAAUGAUGGAGCCGGAGCUUGUCUUCCAUAUGUUUUAACUGUGAGAGAUGCUCUGGUGGGCUGCACAUCACGUCACAGCCCUGGGCUCCACGCAGGCGUGAGCGGGCAUCGGACACGCAGGUGUUGGCCUGCAGGGCCACACGUGUGUCCUGAGCAUGCCCGAGGGUGUGCAUGUCACCUGCGGGGCCCUCCCCAGGGUCCCGGGAGGAGAAGGGCUUGUGGAUAAUUCUGACCCCAGCAUGGCGGCGAUGUUGCCAAACCUUGUGGCACUGGGCUCCCUCCCGGAAAGGCCUGGCUCGGGCCUGGCUGCUCUCUUGGGUCUUGAGCCCCAUGCGGACCCACAGGCCUUGGGGAUGGAGGCCUUGAUCUCCUGGGUGGCCAGCUGGGCACUUCUGGGGGUGCUGUGUGUGCCCGGUGGGGGAGGGGAGCCCUAACCCAGGUUCUGCCUCCUCUGCCUUGUUGGGGUGGCCGCCCCCCCGGAAGUUUUCCGUGGCUUCCCCCACAGAACACGGGGGACCCUCUCCUCCCGGGCCCAGGCUGUUGGCAGCCAUGCCACGCGGUUCCUGGAAUGGAAUUCCCGGCGUUCCUGGUCAGGCGCGUGGCAUUGGAAUCCUACCUGCUUUGUCUCUGGCAUCAGCUGGUGAGCUGGUCACGUGGCCUUGUGCGUGAGCCCAGAGCCCGAGGACCAGCGGGCUCCUCCCGCCGCUUCCCUCUCGCUCCCCUUCUUGUGCCUGUGCCCUGGGCACGGCUGUCUCAUGCAACUGUAAAGCGGUGUUAAAAUACACUCCAGGCAGCGGGGGUGCAGCGGGAGCUCGGUCCACGGAAAGGCCUGGAAGCCAGGGGAGCCGCCCCGGGGACCCCUGAGCAAACUCUGGCCGUGGCGGCCUGGCCUUGGUCCCUGCACGCCGUCCCUUCUGCCCCCAGAGCUGGCUCUGCUUGCCUGGGGGCCCUGCCCACACACACAGCCUGCUGGCCCACCCUGCAGGGGGACAGCCAGGUGGUCAUCGCCUCAGUUCUGGGCCACAGAAAGGUCCAAAGGAGAGACCCGGGUGGACCGGCCGGCCAUGCGGUCACGGCCCGGAGCCCGCAGAAGAGGCCUGAGGGUCUGAUAACUCUCCAGGUGGAAGCGCCCCUCUUAGCGCCUCAGGCCCACUGACCUGGCUCGGGUGGCCAUACCUCUCUGUCCUGGAUUUGCCCGGGUGAGACCCGUGGGUUUGUGGCGGUCUGGGUGGGGUGUGGUGACGGGCCCUCAUCGUGGCCAGGCUGAGCGUUCCUCACCGUGUCAUCACGGCAGCCCCGAGUGGCCGGAGCCGAGACCCCAGCCCGGGUACCGAUGGGGAAACUGAGGCUGGGAAGGGCUGCAUGGCCUGCCUGGGGCUUGGUGGCCGCUGGGACCCAGAGCUGGGGUUCGGGGCGGUGGCGCGGCUGCGGGGGCAUUGGUUAGAGGGGGCUUGCUCUGGGGGGCCCCCGGGGAGCCUGGCUGGGGUGCUGGCUGCCGCCUGCCCCCCGGCCGGGAACAAUGCGGCCUCUAUCCCCCGAGCCGGCCAGCCAGGCGGGCCUCCCGCAACAUGGCGCCCGGGGCCGCGCCGCCUGUCCACGGGGAGGGCUGGCGCCCGGACCAGCCCGGCCCCCCGCGUCCUCCCCGGGCCGGCCUCGCAGUGGCCAGACGCCGCGGCCGCCCCCUCCCUCCCCCGCUGGGCCAGCCCCGGCCCCCUCCCGCCGGCGAUGGGUUUGGGGGUCCGGCCCACCCGCCGCUGCCACGUCUGCCACCCUCCCAGCACCCACGAGCAUCUUUCAAAAAUUCCCGGUGGGCGGGGCCGAGCCGCAGCGGCCGCCUCUGGCCCCCCCUCCCCGGCAGCCAGUGCCAGAGGAGAGCAGGAGACAAAAGUAGCAUUUUCCUCGUCCUCCUGGGCUGGCGGCGGGGCCUCCCCAGCGCCCUCGGCUCCUGGCCGGCCUGCCUCCGGGUUGCCGGGGUGGCCGAGGCCGCGGCCACGCCGGCCGGGACAGAGGGGACCGGUGGACUCCGGUGGCCACAGCCGAGGCGCCCGAGGGCUGGCACCCGGGCCCGGCCCUCCUCUGCCUGCCGCGGGGCCUGGCUGGGGCGACGGCCGCCGCCUUCACUGCCUUGCUGUGGAGCAGCUCCCCGUCCUCCUGCGCCCGGUACCAUCAAGAUGCGAGCUUGGGAGAGGCUGGCCUCCCCCCCGGACCAACUCGGUGACGCGUCUGCUGUCGCCGGCAGCCUUCGGUGCGGAUCCACUGUGUGCCUGCCAGGCUCUCGGGAACUCCACAUUCGUUUGCUCAGACAGACAUCAGCUUUGGACGAAUGUGGCUGCUCCGAGAGCACCUCCAGGAAACUGGACGCCUGCCGUGGCCUUCGGAAGACACUCCAGCACCAUGUAACCAUGUGGCCGGCCUUUGCCCCAUGUCUGGCUGGCAGGGCAGCCCAGGAGGCCUCAUCCCUCCACCUCGACGCCUCGGUCCUCAGCUGACACCUGGAGCUCGGAUGACUGUGCCACCCUCAGGCCAGGUAGCGUUCGAAUGUUGAAAGUCAGAGCUCCCCACCCGCUCCGUCCCGGCGUCACCCUGGGCUGGGUAUGUCUGAGAGAACACAGACGUUUAGCACACACACGUGUGUGUGUGUGUGUGUGUGUGUGUGUGUUGGCGGGGGGGGUUGGGGGUGGCGUGUCACGGGGCCAGACAGGCAAUUCUUGCCCAUUUGUUCGGGUUCAGCUGGGGGUGCGCCCCCCCUCAGCUCUGCCCUCCCACCAGCCUCUUUCUGCGGCCGAGGGUCCAGGGUGAGUACGGGGUCAGGAGCUUGCUGAGGUCUCCCCCAGGCAGCUCAACUUGGGGCGUGUUUCCGGCUGGCCCCGGCACGUAAGGUGGAUGAAGCCCCCUUUGCAAGGAGGCAGCCGCAGCAAGAGGGCCUGGGCCGCGAGCGGGGGACCGCUAACUGCUGGGCAGAGCUCGGGGCUCGGCGCCUGAGGACGUCCUGCCCUGCCCCUUGGCCCUGAGGGAGCUGUCGUGCUCCGAGUUUGCUGGUCCCCCGGCCACACCCUGCCCCUUCCCAGAGCCAGCCUGCACUGCCGACUGUCGGGCCCCCUUGGCUGCUGCCAGCCUCCUAGAGGGUCACGGGGUCUGUGAGGGUCAGGCCCGGCCUGUCAGCCUCUCCUUCUCCCCUGUCUGGUGCCAUGGCCUGGGACAGUUCUGCCUGGAGAGGGCCCGGGACCCCUCUGCCAUCUGGGCCUCGCGUGUUUACAGGUCCAGCCUGCCCGCCAGACUCCGCAGACGCUGCCCCAGGGCUUUUGUGUCUGCGCGCAGGGCCUGCGCCAGCCACUGCCUGAAGGCGGGGAGGGGGGAGGCCCCCCGGGGGACAUCAGGGGCAAGGGGAAGAGAGACCUGACGGGAGUGAAACAGCAAAGGAGAGAGCAAAGGGGUGUAGGCCCGGGGAAGGACGACACCAGAGAGAAGGACCGGGGGCCGCCCGGCCGUCACCGGGGAGACAGGGCCGCGGGCUCGCUCAUGGCUGUGCGGUGCAGCCCUCCCCUGGGCACUCCCUGUGCAAUCCCCCCAGCCUCCCAGCGGAGACACGGCCCUGGGAGCUGUGUCCAGCACCCGGGCUGGGGCACCAAUGUGCCCCUGGGACCGACCCCCAGGGCCUGGCAGACACGCAGGAGGCCGUGAGGGCACGUCCCUGGGUGUGCGCGGGGCACACGCCCUGCUUCUGUACCCCGUUGGCUUUGGCCCACCCCACCCAAGACUCCACAAGGCCCGGCACAGCUCAGGGGCACCCAGAUCCUCUCGGGGCACCACGGGCCAGGAGCACCUCGAGGAUCUGAAGUACCCGGGGGCAGGGGUCGCUGAGGGACCCUUUCUCCAGGCCGUGACCCCAGACACCUGGCAGUCUUAGGCUCAGCAGGUACAGCUUCUCAACGUGGCUCCGCUGUGGGGUGCCCCACGCACGCCUGCAUGUCCUGUGGACCCACAUCCACGCAAACCCCCAAAGAGCCAGCAGGGCGGUCUCUGGGUGCCAGGGAGAACAGGGACAAUUAAUUCCCUGCAGAAAACAGGCCACCAGGGGUACUGACUGGGUCCCACGUGGCUCCUGCCUGCUGCCCAGUGUGGGUGCAGCACCAGGGUGGGCACAGGGAAAGAGGCCAGGGUGCUGCCCAGGACCCAGACCUGGACACGGGCCCUGCCCUGGCUCUGCACCUGCCCGUCUCCAUAAGAGCACAGGCCUGGCUGCGCCCCCAGAUAUGUGAGUAGCAUCUCCCGAGUUGGUCGCUUUCCAAGGAGUCCCCUGCUGGCAGCAGCCAGGUCUGUGCUGACCCCCUGGACCUGUCGACCAUCUUUAAAGUGAGACUGGUCUCCAUCCUGAGUUUUCCCUCUGCAGGAGCAGGGACGAGUGGCAAUGGCUGGACUCACGGCUCACAGAGCAGGGCUGCUGGUCUCUGCCUUACGUCUGGGGUUCUGAACCAGGCACUGGCUGACGGGAUCCCCGCUCCUCGCGGUUCCCGGAGAGGACAUUCCGUCACCAUUGAGUGGGGUUUGCGCGCUGAGCCCUCCCACCGCCGGCUCGGGAAACCCAGCCAAGGACGGGGUGGUGCCACGCCCGGCCAGGCCCGGAGCCUCCCGGGGAGGGGGGCGCAGGGAGCCCCGGCAAGCAGAAGGUACAUCUUGAGGGGCUGUGGCCAGGUGGGGCUGCCCCUGGGGCGCGGUUUCACGCCGGGCGUUUUUAAUGAUGUGGUUGCAUCUGGUCCCCCACCCACCCCCUUCUUCCCUCUCCUUGCCUUGUGACCCAGACUGCGGCUGCGACUGAGAAUAUUUUCAGAUAAAUACACGCCUUUGAGGUUAAAACGAUUGCCUAAUGGUUCAACACCAGACGGAGACACCCACCGGGCAUGGAGAGGGCUCUGCCUCCUGGCUGCUGUUCCCUUUGGACUCUGAGCAGACCCUCUGCGGUGAGGAGCAGCUUCCCUGGUGAUUGCCCCGCCCCUGGGCACGGGCACCUGGACCUCCUUCCCGACAGCCCUGGCUGGCAUCCUUGCCCCACUUACCAAGCCACCAGCUGAGGCCAGAGGUGCUGACUGACUUGCCUGAGGCCCGUCGCUGGUAGAGGCCAGAACAGGGGACAGAACUGUGGCCAGGCAGCUCCCAAAGCCAUCUGUCCCCAGCCCGUGCCCAUGGCCCCCGUGAAUGCAGGGGUGUCUGCAGAGCAGGCCUGAAUCCCACUGCAGCUUUAGCCUCCCGGCCAGGAGGAAACCCCCAGCUUCCCAGAUGCUAGGACUUCCUGGGGGCUUUCGGACUCACACCUCUGUGGGCAGUGACCCUCGGUCCCUGGUGCAUGUCUGGCCCCCUUCCCUGGGGAGUGGACAUUUCCUGUGUGUGCCGCCUCCCAGCUGCAAGCUUGGAGGAAGACAGGAGAGCAGGCAGCCAGGGCAGGGUACAGACUUCCAGGGAUGGGAGACCUUGACCCAGAGUACAAGGGCGUCUGUCUCAGGGAGACUGGGCAGGAAGGGUACCAGCGAGAGGGCCUUCUGUCUCCCUGAGAAGAAAGGCAGGCGUUCCAGUGUUUGUGGGCGCCACUUCCCCACCUACGUGGCACCACCGGGCUGUAUACAGGGCUAUGGGAAGAGCCAGGGUCAGAAGGCCAGGUUCCAGGUCUAGUUUUUAUUCCUCUGUCCCCCAGAGGUGCUUUUGGGGCAUUGAAGCUACUGGGCCCUGCACUCAGCUGAGCUCAGAAAUCAGUAAGCCUCCGUUCCGCCAUAAGUUUGUCCUUCUUACACCAGGGGCCUUUUUGCAUUAAAAAAAAUUUUACAUUGCAGCUUUUGAUUCCUGAGUUUUGGUGCCCCUUUCAAGUGUGUGCCCGGCUCUGCCCAGCCUCUGCCCGGCCCCAGCCAGCCUCUGCUGGGCGCACAUCUCGUUAACUUUAUGGGCCAUGUUUGUAGGGAGACCCGGCCCCCGGAUGCCACCCCCCACGCCUUUUUCCCAGACUCCAUUGUUGGCACGGCUUGCCGAGCAGAAACACUGGCUGCUUUAUGGGGAGAAACCUAAUCGGGGUGGCAGUAGAGGGAGCCGUCACGGGGGGGGGGGUCCAGGCUCCCAGUGGCCCCAAGCCAAGCCCGAGGUGACUGUGGGGUGACACCGUCUGUCUGCCUCGCUCGCUCCAGACAUCCGCCCGGCCCUGAAAGGGCCACCUGCCCACCGAGGCCUCCCACACACCUGUCCCCAGUUGGCCUGGCUCCUCCCUGCCCGGCGCCCUGCCCACAGGCUGACACUGGGGCCUGGGGCUGGGCCGGCAGUGGCAGAUGGCAGGGCAACUGCUGACCACUCUCUCCCGCAGCCCUGCCCAGGGAGCCCCUUUCAUGGCACAGUGGCUGCUCCUGCUGCCACCCCCGGUCCAGGCUGACCAGGAAGGGUCCCUUAGGAGGUCUCAGACCCCUGCCACCCCGCUGGAAGAGGGGAGGUCUCUGCUGACCCUCCCUGGGCUGGACCCAUGCUCACUUUUAGGACUGUGGGGCAGUGGGCCGAGCAAAGCACGCCUCCUGACACCCGGAAUCGAGGCCUCCCCACCCAGCUCUGAAAUGUCUCCACAAUUAGGUCUCAGACCUGGGUCGGUCCUCCUUCCUUCCCGCCAAUCCUGGGUUAUUGGCUAAAGAAAGAGCCAGGUUGUGUGAGAGCGGUUCCCUGGUGGGCAGGCAAAGCCCAAGUUUGGAGAACCCUGCUGGGGGUACACCUGCCUCUUGCCCACCUGGAGAGGCCAUUAGCUGGGCCGCCGUGUGGGAGCCCGCCCGGCCCUCAUGGAGAGAGGAAGUCCCCCUUGUCCGGGGGCACAGUCAUGGGCACCGCUUGAGUCAGCUGCGUGCCUGCCGCGGUUCUGGGUGUCCAGACGUGAGACCUGGGGCCUAGGAGGGCCAGGCCAGGUCGCAGAGCCCGGACAGUGAGAAUUCACUGGGGCGCCCCCCCCCUCCUCCCGCAGGCCUCCCGAUGGGCAGUGAGCGAGAGGAACAUGUGUGGGGAGCGCAGAGUCUUCAUGGGCAACAGGGUGGUCACUCCUGGCUCAGGAGAGGCCAGGGCAAAGGCCAGGAGGCACGCGGCAGGGUGGGGAGGGCUGCCCAGGGUGCUCUUCUGCUCUGGAGGGGGAAAUGAUGGGAGCCGGGCCAGGCGGGGCACAGAGAUGUGAGCCCAGGUGAUUGAUGGACAUCGGGCCUCUGGGAGCGCGGAGGGACGAGGGGCAGGACAGCACCCCUACAGCCUGGUGGGCCGACCCUCUGUCCCUGUUACCGGCCGGGGACACCGAGGCUCAGUGGUUGGCACAUGAUAGGGCUGGAUAGACCCCAGUGGCUCUGGCUCCGAGUGCAGCGACCCGGGAUGAGGCUCAGGCCCUCCAGUUGGCCGAGCAGGUUGGAGCCAGGUGGGGCCAUGGCUCGCUGAGUGAGCCCUGUCUGAGGCCUCACACCGGGCCCCAGGUGCCCGCUCCCCGACGUUUCUGCUCUUGGGAUGGUCCGAGGCUUCACUUUUCAACUUCGUUGUUGGGAGCCUCCUCUGUGAACUGGGGAGUUUGGUUCCUCCUCCUGGGUCCCACAAACGGCCUGGCACACAGGAGGCAGCACCCGUCUCUCCUCCCCUUGCCGCCCCCUCCCAACAUCCAGGCCCUAGAGUGAGCCUGGAAGGUCUGGCCACCCGGCAUGGGAAUACCAGUGGCCCUGGCCACUCACGGAUGCGGACUGGGUCUUGUUCAUUCCCCAUCUGGGGUCGUCGGACACAGGGCACCAGAGCGGCCGCUCUCUCCAGACCUCUCCACGGGGUGUGUCGCCAGGCAAGGGGCCAUAGUGAGACAGGCUGGACUGAGAUGUGGGAUCCGCAGGAGGUAGACGGGCGAGUCCAGGGAGGAGGCGCGGAGCAGCGGCCAGAGCUCAGGCUUGGCUGCACCUCUUGCACAAGGUCUGACGCUUGUGUCUUUUUUUCUAAACCCCAACAGGUCAAGAAGUGGCGCUGAGAUGGGAGUGUCUGCCUGAGGCCAGCGUUCCUCGUGGGGAGCCCAGCCGGGACGCCCAGGAGGCCCCUGUGCUGCAGGACAUCGGCCCACCCCGGCCUCGGUGUGGUGACUGUCCCCGGGCACGGGACAGCACAGUGACUGUACGUGCCCCUCCGGCCAUCCUGGUGCUGGGAAGUAAGGAGCCUUGGCGGGAGGACUGUAACGGGGAGGGACACGGUCAGGGCUGUGUCUGUGGUGCCCUGUGGCCUCAGCUGUCACGGAGGACCCUUGGCCACCCUCUCCUCAGCCCCCAUCCUUAGAGGCUCUGUCCUUGGCGACUCCCUGGCCCUGACUGCCGGCAGGGAGUUCAGGCAGACAGUGGGACGGGACCCUGAGACCCUCUCACGCUGAUUCCCCUCUGGGGCCUCGAGGAGAGACAGGACAGCUGUGACCACAGGCCAGCCAGGAGUUGGGGUGUUCCCGGCUCCACGCCCCGGCGACUGUACCUCAGGCUCAUCCUCUGUGUGGACGGCACGGUGUGGGUGCCGGCGUCCCCAUCCCUGGCUGAGGGCCCUGGCACUGACUUCAUACUCCUCGGGGUUGUUCGGGAAGCGGCCACUGAGCUGUUCAUUGGGCCUGGGCAUGAGACCCCACCUGCGGUAGUGGGCGAGCCAGAGGGCGGGCCCUUCCUCUGCCCAGGGCCCACGGGAUCAGUGAUCCUGGCUUCACCAGGCCCGGGAAGACCACACGGCAUGGAGCAGCCUGGUGCCUGCCUGGAGGAGGCAGCCUGCUAGGGAGGGGUGUGGGGGGAGGUGAGGGGUGUCUGACAGCUCGGGGCUCUUGUCCAGUGGCACCAGUUACAAGGCAGAGGUGUUACCAGGCAGAAAGCAGGAAUGACCUGUGUUCUGCCCUGCCACCCAUCGGCAUUGUGACCUCAUGACAGUCACGUGACCUGUGUGGGGCUCAGGCUCGGGCACCGGGCCCUGUGUCUGCGGCUCCAGCCCAGACACCCUUCCCUGAGAGCCAGGUUCCCUUCUGGAAGGAGGGAACAUUCUAGAGCCUCUGCCCGGUGGGAAAGCCAGGGUUACCCUGAUGGCAGGAUCAGGCUGCUGGGGAGGGAGUGCCCCCGGUCCAGCGGGUGGAGGCGGGAUCGCAGGUGGCGGUGCUGUGAGAUGGGGACGUGGUGGGCACUCUGGCCGCUUUGGGCACAGGUUGGCCUCUGACAAACGCCAGCCUUCCUCCCAGCGCCUCCAGCACAGGUCGCCUGGGGACACCGCAGCCUCUCCGGUCUCCAGUCCAGAUGGGAGCAGUCUGGUCACCUGUGAGCCUCUCCUGAGAGCCCCAUGGGCCUCUUUGCUCCACCGGUGUCCCCGCUCCCUCUCCUCCCUCCUUCCCUCCCCUCCCUGGUCAGCGGUCUCCUCCUGUGGGGCAGCUCCCUGGGCGCACAGGCCCCUGCUGACCUGCCUGCCAGGGCCCUGGGCCCUCAGCCUCCAGUGCCACCUUGAGCUCCUGCCCCUGCCGCUCUCCACCGCCGCCGCCUCCAGGAAGCGCCUCCGGGAGCCACCAAGUCCGCCCAGUCCAGGCGCCAAGACUGACCGACGGCCCUUUGGGGUGAGGUAGUAGGUUGUAUAGUUUGGGGCUCUGCCCUGCUAUGGGAUAACUAUACAAUCUACUGUCUUUCCUGAAGUGGCUGUAAUACCAACAGCGGCCAGCACCUAGGACCCUGGCUUGGGGGCGUGGGGGGGCGAGGGGCGGGCAGAUGGGAGGGGUGCGGCCUCUGCAGGGUGGGGCGGUGCUGUGUGACCUGGGGCAGGUCCCUUGACCUCUCUGAGCUUCAGUUUCCUUAUCUGUGAAACGGGCCAGGUGAGGGUUGAGGGCAGUACCGUAUGAGGUGUCCAAGGAGGGCUUCACUCAGCCGGCCCUUCCCUCCCCUCAUGCCAUCUUUGCCACCUGCCCCUCGCCCUGUCCCCCUGACGGUGCUCGUGGGCGGCCCCUAGUCCGAGCUGCGGCCGACCCUGGAUGCCAGGAGGAGCAGCCCCGGGGCCAGCUGAGACUCGGCCGGGGUGGGACAACUGCGCCCCAGGGCGGCCCACGGGGCCAGCUUCCAUCUGCCCAUUUCUCCAGCGGCCAGCCCGCCCAUCUCAGUGCCAGGCCUCUGUUUGGCGGAGGGAGGGGGGCCGGGGCUCCCCAGUUGCGGGCAGGAAGAGAGGCGCGUUCUCCAGCCUGCGGCGCCCCGUGGGGCCCGUGCCCACUCCCCGCGCCCACAGGCAGGCUGGACGCCGUGGAGGAGCCGUGGCGCCGUCGGCGUGGCCCUCCUGCCCGGUGCCCGCCUGGCCCUCCAUGGCUCCGGGGGCCGCGGGCUGGGCGGCAGCGGGACGGCGGACCCUCCCACCCCCGGGUGCCGGCGGGGUGAGGUAGUAGGUUGUGUGGUUUCAGGGUAGUGAUGUUGCCCCCUCGGAAGAUAACUAUACAACCUACUGCCUUCCUUGAGGGGCCCAGUGACGUCCACAGAGGGUCCGCCCCCGCGCGCAGCAGGCGACUGGGUGGCCAGGCGGUCGGGAGGCUGCAGCGUGCACACCCGGAGCUCAAUAAAGCUGUUCAACGUGGAAA